rnacentral:rRNA from 1 species
GAUCCUGGCUCAGAUUGAACGCUGGCGGCAGGCCUAACACAUGCAAGUCGAGCGGUAGCACAGAGAGCUUGCUCUCGGGUGACGGGCGGCGGACGGGUGAGUAAUGUCUGGGAAACUGCCUGAUGGAGGGGGAUAACUACUGGAAACGGUAGCUAAUACCGCAUAACGUCGCAAGACCAAAGUGGGGGACCUUCGGGCCUCAUGCCAUCAGAUGUGCCCAGAUGGGAUUAGCUAG